AUUACUUUAUUAAUUUAUCGAUUAUAUCAAUUUAUACACUGGUCCCAAAGAAGAAUUUAUUAAUUUAUAGAGGGCUUACUGUACAAAUUUAAAACAUUCUUGUUUAAUUUGGAUUUAGAUUAAGUAAACUAAAUUAAGCAAUGACUUUUUAGAAUAUUUUAAAUUUUUAGGUUUGGUUUAGACACAAAAUAAUUAUCAGAAAUACUAUGAGUGCACACA
rnacentral:sRNA from 1 species